GUCUGGAGAGGAUGAUUCCAGCCACCCAUGGAACGAGGACCAUCGCCCCAGCCUCCUACGGAGCAGCAGUGGGGGAUUAUCGAUCAAUCGGGCGGCAGCAUGCAUGCAGCCAUGCCGCGUGCAUGAAGAACGUCCGUACUGGUGGUAAGCUACCUUUACGUCAGGGAAGAAGAGUAGUUCUGUUAAUUAGCUAGGGUGAGUUGACGUUACUCGCAGAAUAAGCACCGGCUAACUCUGUGCCAGCAGCCGCGGUAAUACAGAGGGUGCGAGCGUUAAUCGGAUUUACUGGGCGUAAAGCGUGCGUAGGCGGUUUUUUAAGUCGGAUGUGAAAUCCCCGAGCUCAACUUGGGAACUGCAUUCGAUACUGGCAAGCUAGAGUAUGGGAGAGGAGGGUAGAAUUCCAGGUGUAGCGGUGAAAUGCGUAGAGAUGUGGAGGAAUACCGAUGGAGAAGGCAGCCAUCUGGCCUAAUACUGACGCUCAGGUACGAAAGCAUGGGGAGCAAACAGGAUUAGAUACCUUGGUAGUCCACGCCGUAAACGAUGUCUACUAGCUGGUGGGGCCUUUGAGGCUUUAGUGGCGCAGCUAACGCGAUAAGUAGACCGCCUGGGGAGUACGGUCGCAAGAUUAAAACUCAAAUGAAUUGACGGGGGCCCGCACAAGCGGUGGAGCAUGUGGUUUAAUUAGAUGCAACGAGAAGAACCUUACCUCCUCUUGACAUAGAAAGAACUUUCCAGAGAUGGAUUGGUGCUUUCGGGAACUUACACACAGGUGCUGCAUGGGUGUGGUCAGCUUGUGUUGUGAGAUGGUGGGUUAAGUCCCGCAAAGAGCGCAACCCUUUUCCUUUUUUGCCAGCCAUUCGGGUGGGAACUUUAAGGAGACUGCCGGUGACAAACCGGAGGAAGGGGGGGAUGACGUCAAGUCAUCAUGGCCCUUAUGGCCAGGGCUACACACGUCAUACAAUGGUUGGUACAAAGGGUUGCCACCUCGCGAGAGGAUGCUAAUCUCAAAAAACCGAUCGUAGUCCGGAUUGCAGUCUGCAACUCGACUGCAUGAAGUCGGAAUCGCUAGUAAUCGCGGAUCAGAAUGCCGCGGUGAAUACGUUCCCGGGCCUUGUACACACCGCCCGUCACACCAUGGGAGGGGUUCACCAGAAGUAGGUAGUCUAACCGUUAUGGAAGUUGCUUUUGGCCGU
rnacentral:rRNA from 1 species